CUACCAGGGUAUCUAAUCCUGUUCGAUCCCCACGCUUUCGUGCAUCAGCGUCAAUAAUGACUUAGACAGCUGCCUUCGCAAUCGGAGUUCUGAGACAUAUCUAUGCAUUUCACCGCUACUUGUCUCAUUCCGCCAUCUUCAACCACAUUCAAGCUCAUCAGUAUCAAAGGCACUGCGACAGUUGAGCUGCCGUCUUUCACCCCUGACUUAAUGAGCCGCCUACGCACCCUUUAAACCCAAUAAAUCCGGAUAACGCUCGGAUCCUCCGUAUUACCGCGGCUGCUGGCAC
rnacentral:rRNA from 1 species